UGAAUACGAGAUGCUACGGCGUCGAAGCAGUGUAUGUCAGACUUCCAAGAAAAGCUCGCAAUGUCAUAAAUAAAGAAUGCCUGUACCAUAACCGACACAGGUGGGUAGGUAGAGUAUACUAAGGGGCGCGAGAUAACUCUCUCUAAGGAACUCGGCAAAAUAACUCCGUAACUUCGGGAGAAGGAGUGCCUUCUUUAAGAAGGUUGCAAUAACAAGAUCCAAGCAACUGUUUAUCAAAAACACAGGUCUCCGCUAAGUCGUAAGAAGAUGUAUGGGGGCUGACGCCUGCCCAGUGCCAGAAGGUUAAAGAAGUUGGUUAGCUUUUGCGAAGCUGAUGACUGAAGCCCUGGUGAACGGCGGCCGUAACGAUAACGGUCCUAAGGUAGCGAAAUUCCUUGUCGGGUAAGUUCCGACCCGCACGAAAGGCGUAAUGAUUUGGAUACUGUCUCGGAGAGGGACUCGGUGAAAUAGACUUGUCUGUGAAGAUGCGGACUACCUGCACCAGGACAGAAAGACCCUAUGAAGCUUUACUGUAACUUGAAAUUGAAAUUGGACUUUAUUUGCGCAGUAUAGGUGGAAGGCGUUGAAAGUAAUCUUGCGGGAUUAGUGGAGCCAUCAGUGAGAUACCACUCCUAUAAUGUUAGAUUUCUAACUUUGGAUCAUGAUCUGGUCAAAGAACAGUUUCAGGCGGGCAGUUUGACUGGGGCGGUCGCCUCCCAAAUGGUAACGGAGGCGUACAAAGGUUUCCUCUGAACGGGUAGAAAUCGUAUCUAGAGUGUAAAGGCAUAAGGAAGCUUGACUGUGAGACCUACAAGUCGAGCAGGGACGAAAGUCGGUCUUAGUGAUCUGACGGUGCUGAGUGGAAAGGCCGUCACUCAACGGAUAAAAGUUACUCUAAGGAUAACAGGCUGAUCUCCCCCAAGAGUUCACAUCGACGGGGAGGUUUGGCACCUCGAUGUCGGCUCAUCGCAUCCUGGGGCGGUAGUACGUCCCAAGGGUUGGGCUGUUCGCCCAUGAAAGCGGUACGCGAGCUGGGUUCAGAACGUCGUGAGACAGUUCGGUCCAUAUCCGGUGUAGGCGUUAGAAUAUUGAGAGGAGCCUUCUUUAGUACGAGAGGACCGAGAAGGACAUACCUCUGGUGUACCAGUUAUCGUGCCAACGGUAAACGCUGGGUAGCUAUGUAUGGAGAGGAUAACCGCUGAAAGCAUCUAAGUGGGAAGCCCACCUCAAGAUGAGUAUUCUCAC
rnacentral:rRNA from 1 species